UAGCUGGCCUACAAGGGCAUGUGCACACCCUGCUCAUCCACUCUCAUACCCCUGUGCACCUAUUGUAGGCUNGGUGGGAUAAGUUGACUUCAGUUGAUUUUGAAAGCCUUGUCUAUGUUUAUUACAAACGCUUCAGUUAAAGAAUGUUACUUUGCGUUUAACGCAUUAAAUACAACUUUCAGCAACGGAUCUCUUGGCUCUCGCAUCGAUGAAGAACGCAGCGAAAUGCGAUAAGUAAUGUGAAUUGCAGAAUUCAGUGAAUCAUCGAAUCUUUGAACGCACCUUGCGCUCCUUGGUAUUCCGAGGAGCAUGCCUGUUUGAGUGUCAUGGUAUUCUCAACCUUUAAUGCUUUUUGCAAUGAAGGCUUGGAUUUGGAGGUCGUGUUGGCGCAAGUCAACUCCUCUUAAAUGUAUUAGUGUGAACCUUACGGAUCGCCUUCAGUGUGAUAAUUGUCUACGCUGUGGUGUUGAAGUAUAUUCGUGUUCAUGCUUCUAAUCGUCCGCAUGGACAAACUUUACUUGACAAUCUGACCUCAAAUCAGGUAGGACUACCCGCUGAACUUAAGCAUAUCAAUAAGCGGAGGAAAAGAAACUAACAAGGAUUCCCCUAGUAACUGCGAGUGAAGCGGGAAAAGCUCAAAUUUAAAAUCUGGCAGUCUUUGAUUGUCCGAGUUGUAGUCUGGAGAAGCGUCUUCCGUGC
rnacentral:rRNA from 1 species